rnacentral:rRNA from 1 species
UGGCUAAGGUAGCGCAAUCACUUGCCCUUUAAUUGUGGGCUAGUAUGAAUGGCUAGACAAGAGCUUGGCUGUCUCAAAGGGGCUCAUGAAAAUUAACCUUUAGGUGCAGAGGCCUAAAUUUUAGUGAAAGACAAGAAGACCCUAUCGAGCUUUAAUUUUUUCUAUUAUUAUAANUAAUAUAAAUUUUUAUUGGGGCAAUAAAGGAGCAAUUUAAGCCUCCUUAAAUCUAAAGUUAAACUAAUUUAUAAAAGAAACAUUUAUAAUGCUCUUAGGAAAAAGCUACCGUAGGGAUAACAGACUAAUUUCCCUCAAGAGUCCACAUUGACAGGGAAGUUUGGCACCUCGAUGUUGGCUUAAAAAACAGUUAUGAAGCAGNACUCUAACCC